rnacentral:lncRNA from 1 species
UUCCCUAUGGUGAAAUAAACCUUAAGUGUUUACAAUCAAGUUAGCUAGAUUUUAACCAAUUUACUUAUUUAACCAGGUAUUAAAAAAAUCCAUACCAUACCUUGUAAGUUCUUCUAAACUCUUUUUAUUUCCAUUGAUUUUGAUUAAACAGGUAAUUGGCGGUUGAUCAAUAGGCACAAUUCUGAUGAGCUGGUUUGGCUGAACCUUCCAUGUGACAGAGCUCCGGGAAGAGGGAACCCAGAGGAGAGGGUGCCAGAGGCAGAACAUGGAAGAAGGAGACAACGGGGACCUGUACAAUGAUGAAGAGACCUGACCGUGAAAUGUGGGGAAAUUUAUUAAAGGAUUGACCAGUAUUUCUCCUGGUCUUUACGAAGCCUUUGCAUUACUAACAACCAACGGAAAAUGAUAUAACAAAGAUAACGAUCUAAGUAGGAGUUCUGUUCUCUAUUCCUACCUUGGAAAGCAGUAGCCUAAUAAAUCUGAGUGGUCAACAUUUAUGGUACCCCUC